CAGUUCGGAUGUAGUCUGCAACCCGACUACAUGAAGCUGGAAUCGCUAGUAAUCGCGAAUCAGAAUGUCGCGGUGGAUACGUUCCCGGGUCUUGUACACACCGCCCGUCACACCAUGGGAGUCGGAAAUGCCCGAAGCCAGUGACCUAACCGAAAGGGAGGAGCUGCCGAAGGUGGAGCCGGUAACUGGGGUGAAGUCGUAACAAGGUAGC
rnacentral:rRNA from 1 species